GACGUAGGGCGCGAGCGUUGUCCGGAUUUAUUGGGCGUAAAGAGCUCGUAGGCGGCUUGUCGCGUCGUUCGUGAAAACCCGGGGCUCAACUCCGGGCUUGCGGGCGAUACGGGCAGGCUAGAGUUCGGUAGGGGAGACUGGAAUUCCUGGUGUAGCGGUGAAAUGCGCAGAUAUCAGGAGGAACACCAGUGGCGAAGGCGGCUCACUGGCCCGAUACUGACGCUGAGGUGCGAAAGCGUGGGGAGCAAACAGG
rnacentral:rRNA from 1 species